UAUAUAUAUAUAUAUGUUGAAAGGCUUUUGGUCGCACAAAAGUCAACAAACCUAAUCCCCACUAAUGUAAUAUAGGGCUGACUAGGGAUCAAUCCAAGGACUUGGCAAAAUCAAGUUUAUAAUUAUAGAAUUAAACCUAAUUACUAUUUACUAAAAACUAAAACUGGUGGAGAAAUAAAAUGUAAAAAUAAAAUCUAAAAAAAUGAAACUGAAAGAAUUAAUAUCUAAGUAAUACCAAUGGAAAAAGAGAAAGAAAACAAUGCAUGAUAUCUACGGUAACUAAUGUAAUAUGUAUUAACAAGACCAAGCUAAUGCAAUUAAAAGAAUCUUAAAAACUAAAAAGAAACUAAAACAGAAUUCACAAUCUAAAAUUCAAGUAAUAUGAAG
rnacentral:lncRNA from 1 species